rnacentral:rRNA from 1 species
AACGAACGCUGGCGGCGUGCUUAACACAUGCAAGUCGAACGGUAAGGCCCUUCGGGGUACACGAGUGGCGAACGGGUGAGUAACACGUGGGUGAUCUGCCCUGCACUUCGGGAUAAGCCUGGGAAACUGGGUCUAAUACCGGAUAGGACCACUGCCUGCAUGGGUGGUGGUGGAAAGCUUUUGCGGUGUGGGAUGGGCCCGCGGCCUAUCAGCUUGUUGGUGGGGUGAUGGCCUACCAAGGCGACGACGGGUAGCCGGCCUGAGAGGGUGACCGGCCACACUGGGGCUGAGAUACGGCCCAGACUCCUACGGGAGGCAGCAGUGUGGAAUAUUGCACAAUGGGCGCAAGCCUGAUGCAGCGACGCCGCGUGAGGGAUGACGGCCUUCGGGUUGUAAACCUCUUUCAGCACCGACGAAGCGCAAGUGACGGUAGGUGCAGAAGAAGGACCGGCCAACUACGUGCCAGCCGCCGCAGUAACAC